rnacentral:misc_RNA from 1 species
AAAUGCGAUAAGUAGUGUGAAUUGCAGAAUUCAGUGAAUCAUCGAAUCUUUGAACGCACAUUGCGCCCCUUGGUAUUCCAUGGGGCAUGCCUGUUCGAGCGUCAUUUGUACCUUCAAGCUCUGCUUGGUGUUGGGUGUUUGUCUCGCCUCUGCGCGCAGACUCGCCUCAAAACAAUUGGCAGCCGGCGUAUUGAUUUCGGAGCGCAGUACAUCUCGCGCUUUGCACUCAGAACGACGACGUCCAAAAGUACAUUUUUUACACUCUUGACCUCGGAUCAGGUAGGGAUACCCGCUGAACUUAAGC